rnacentral:pre_miRNA from 1 species
UUCAUUAUCUUAAGUCAAACUUCUCUAACUUUGACCAAGUUUAUAGAAAAAUAUAAUAACAGCUACAACACCAAAUAAAAGCACUAUCAAGACCUAUCUUCAUGGUGGAUUCAAUGAAACCAAUUCGAUAUUGUAGAUGUUGAUGCUUUUUCCUAUAAACUUGGUCAAAGAUAAAUUUGACUUAGGACAGAGCUAAA